rnacentral:lncRNA from 1 species
GGUAUUGGUAAAAUCUGAAACCCACUCUCACGUAGGGUGACCAGAUAAAAUUUAAACUAGUCGGUUAAAUUUGAAUUUCAAAUAAAAUAGUAAUGACUGUUUAGUGUAACAUUCAUCUUAAUAAUUUUUUUUUUUUUGGUAGUGGGUAUCGAACUCAGGUCCUCGUGCUUGCCAGGCAGGUGGCAGAACCACUGAGCUAAAUUCCCGGCCCUCAUCUUAAUAAUUUUUGCAUGAGAUUGCAUUUGAUAUAAGUAUAUCCCAUAAAUAAGUACACAGUGUUUGGACUACACUAAUACUAAAAGGUUACUUGUUUAUCUGAACUUCAAGUUUAGGUGGAUAUCCUCUGAUUUUAUUUCUUAGCUGGCAACUCUUUUCUCAGGAGAAUUCCUCUUCAUCUCAGGUACCACGAUGCUUCAGAAAAGAAGUUCCCUCUUGGGUAUUAACAACUAAAUAAUGAGUUUUUAAAGGCACAUUGUGAAUUACUCUCACAGGCAGAGGAAGUCGCAGUCUAUGCGAUCUGCCAAUGCUGAGUGCGAAUUUUGCCGGCCUCCUGGUGGUAAAGUCAAGAUUUCCUUUCUGAGCCCCGCAGGCCACUAUCAUCAGACUGCAGGGGGACCUCACCUCAGCCACACACACUUCCUAGGGCUGAACACACAGGAACUGGAAUCCCAUUGGGGAGCAGAUGGGAACCAUUACAACUCAGAGAGCCAAAGGAAGAGGAAAGCCUGAGGUUCUGCUGCCCCUGCAAGUGCUCACAGGACAGCCACCAGCACCAGACACCUGUCCCCAGAGCAGUGGGACGGCGCAGGUGCUAUGGAGGGCCCACCAAAGUCUUGGGAGCCGAAGGACUGAAGUAGAUGACGGCAUGAAAGGCCAGAGCCUGAAGCAAGGCACCCACAGCCCUCUGGCGCCC